rnacentral:lncRNA from 1 species
CUUGCUUAGAUUUUGCAUCUCUUACUGUUGGGGCCAAAAUUAAUCUGCCCUUCCUCAGGGAAGAAUACCUUCUGUACUUCCUCUGGGAAGAAUACUUUCUGUCCUCCAGCUGUCCCUGUUCACGUAGAGCUGCCUGCUGAAAGCCCAUCUUACCCUUGUGAGAUGCAAUUGUUCCCAGGAAAGACACAGACUGUUUAAAUUUGUCUUCGAAGCCUGGUUCACUUAAGAACUUUGGAAAACUGCUGCCCUAAAUCUCACAGCUGGAAGUCAUGGAUGGGGCUGGGAUGGACCCACAGCUGCUUCUUAAAGCAAAUUGUAAAUACCACAGCCCACUUCAAAAUCAAGUCCUGUACAUGCCAGAAGUGGAGCUGGAAAUGCAAACACCAAACCUGGAGAUGACUUUUGAAAACACAGGCCAAAGAGAAUGAAGAAUUUGCCAGAGACAUCCAAGGAAUUUGCAAGACCACCAAGAAUGGGAGCAAGAUAUCUCAAGUGAAAUUUAAAAUGCUUGUCCUAAAUCUCUCCCUGGUAUGACAAUGCACCGCUGAUUCCCUGCUUUCUUUCUUAGGUAUCUCACUCCAGCUUCUUAAAUAUCUUUUAGGAACGUUAAAAAGAAUGCAGGUGCUUCUAUUUAUUAGUAAGAAACUUUCUUAGAAGUUCACAAGAACAAGAAAAGCAAUGUGUGUUCCCAAGCACAGUAAGAUUUCUGAGCAAGCCUUUUUUAUUAUUCAAUUUAAGCACAAGUAAAAUAUAUAGCUGUUUCAGAUUUGGUUCCUCUCUGGAACAUGCCUUGUAGAACAAUGUUUCUCUCCCCCUGUAAUUCUGACUCCACGACACCAGUUUUAUUUGCCAGGCCUGGCAAACAAUGAUCUAUCCAUCCAUGUCAUGCAUAUUAUGUCAAAUUUAUUACGACAGCUUUCCAGCGUAUUUCCAGUCAAGGUUUCAUUCUUCUUACAGAUUCUGCAAAUGAGCAACAGUUUUAGUUACAAAUGCCUCCCCAUGAGGCAGCACUCCUGACAACAGAACGGAACUUACUGUAUUUCUUGCAGAACUGUGACACCCAUACAACCAAUCAUUGUGACACACUGCUGAGGAACACUGUUUUGCUCUGUGGUUGAUAUAUUCCCAACUCAAAAUGAACAGGAGGGAUACUGGGAGUCAUUCAAGCCUUGAUUAGUACUUGACUGGAUCAGGCAUACAUCUUCAUGUCCUGAGAGGAGAAGGCAACCCAAAGAAUCAGCUGCCCACAGCCAAGGCCCUGAGCCUUGGGAGAGGUUUGACCACAGGACAAAGGACAUUUGUGGAGACAUGAAUAUCAAACAUGCACAGAGCAAACCAUGGAGCAGAGAGAGCUGCAAGAUGUUCUUGACAAAUGGUGGCAGUGCUAAUGAGUGUCUGGACUAAACAAUUCUGUUCCCUUCUUGUUGG